UUUUUGCUCAGUUCUUAUUAUGGCACCCUCAACGGAGUUGGGGUGACAUAUUGUUAUUGUUCGUUUCUUUUUUUUCUUUUUAUUAUUAUUAUUUUUAUUCUUCCACACAUUUUGUCCAUGCUAUUUCUCAGAAUUGGUCAAAUCAAUGUUGAUGGAACUGUACCAUAAUAUGAACCGCCAUCUUAAGUUGUGCAAGAGACAUUGGAAUGGUAAAAAAUGGCCGCUGUUACCAUGGAAACUGAACAAAUGUGAAAAAAUCCAGUUUUUUGUUUUGGUGAACUAUUUGGAUACUAUUUAACUCAGAAUCAUUAUAUUUUGAUACAAUGUAGGUGCCCACUAUAUACAGGUGUUGGAUGAUUUUGGCACUCAUUGGAACUACUAUGUUGCCAUGGAAACUACUCCAAAAAAUUCAAAAAUCUCAAAAUGUUCCAAACUUAAUGAAACUUCACAGUAACGAUGAGCAACAUUGGAAGAUGUGGAAUUUGGCGUUGGAAUUUCCAAAAUCGCUCUUGUUACCAUGGAAACAAUGCAAAAAGGUUAAAACUUUGAAUUUUCACAGAACAUUCUAGAACAUCAAUG
rnacentral:lncRNA from 1 species